rnacentral:rRNA from 1 species
UACCAGCACCCCGAGUGGUCGGGACGUUUUAUUGGGCCUAAAGCAUCCGUAGCCGGUUCUACAAGUCUUCCGUUAAAUCCAACUGCUUAACGGGUGGGCUGCGGAAGAUACUAUAGAGCUAGGAGGCGGGAGAGGCAAGCGGUACUCGAUGGGUAGGGGUAAAAUCCGUUGAUCCAUUGAAGACCACCAGUGGCGAAGGCGGCUUGCCAGAACGCGCUCGACGGUGAGGGAUGAAAGCUGGGGGAGCAAACCGG